CUUGAUGGAGCCGAGCCACAGCGGCCGCCCGUCCGGCCGGUCCUGUCCGUACGUGGCCAGCAGCGCCUGCGCCUC
rfam:Streptomyces hygroscopicus ATCC 53653 genomic scaffold supercont1.1, whole genome shotgun sequence.